rnacentral:rRNA from 1 species
AUGGAGGCGGCCGCCGACGAGGAGCAGGAGGGGCUGUCCGCGCAGUCGCCGGCGCAGGCGCCACCUUCAUCAGCGUCCUCCCUUCCAAAGGAGCAGUCGCAGGUGGAGCUGGAGCUGAGGCUGCUCCAGGCUCUCGAGUUCUACCCUCCCUCCAAACUGAAAGGGAUCCAUCGCCACUUCAUUCUCUACGGCCUCAUGGAAUACUUGAGAAAAAGCCUUGACAGACAAUUCUCCGCGGAUGAAGUUCUGCAACUGCUUGACCGCUUCUUCAACCUAGAAAUGCUGAAACCAGAUGACGACGAGAAGGAUAACUUUGGUCAGGCGGAGGAAUUCGCCUUGCCAGACAAUUUUUUCAAGAAGGAAGAAUGA